rnacentral:sRNA from 1 species
GGGAAAAUGAAGCGGAUAUGAUUGAAAAGAUAGCCAAAGAUGUUUCAGAUAAACUGAAUGCUACACCUUCUAAAGAUUUUGAUGCAUUUGUGGGACUUGAGUUUCACAUUAGGGAAUUAAGUUCUCUGCUAUACCUAGACUAUGAGCAAGUGAGGAUAGUAGGAAUCUGUGGCCCUGCAGGAAUCGGUAAGACUACCAUUGCUCGUGCUUUACAAAGCCUACUCUCUAGCAAUUUUCAGCGAAGUUGUUUUAUGGAGAAUGUUAGGGGAAGUCUUAAUAUUGGGCUUGACGAGUAUGGUCUGAAGUUAGAUUUACAAGAACGACUUCUUUCAAAGAUUAUGAACCAAAAGGGUAUGAGGAUAGAGCAUUUAGGCACAAUAAGAGAUAGGUUACAUGACCAAAAAGUGCUUAUCAUUCUAGAUGAUGUUAAUGAUCUCGAUUUGUAUGCUUUGGCUGAUCAGACAACGUGGUUUGGUCCUGGAAGUAGGAUUAUCGUGACAACAGAAGACAACGAGCUUUUGCAGAAACAUGAUAUUAACAAUGUCUACCAUGUGGAUUUUCCAUCUAGAAAAGAAGCUCUUGAGAUCUUUUGCAGAUGUGCUUUUAGACAAAGCUCUGCACCUGAUACGAUUCUAAAGCUUGCAGAACGAGUAACAGAGCUUUGUGGUAAUCUUCCAUUGGGUCUCUGUGUCAUAGGUUCAUCUUUACACGGGAAAACUGAGGAUGAGUGGGAAAUUUUAAUUCGCAGACUAGAAAUUAGUCUUGAUCGAGAUAACGAGGCACAACUUAGAGUUGGGUAUGAUAGCUUACAUGAGAACGAGCAAGCUUUAUUUCUCAGCAUUGCAGUCUUCUUCAACUAUAAAGACCGUCAGCUUGUGAUGGCCAUGCUCCUUGACAGUAACCUAGAUGUCGAGUAUGGGUUAAGAACCCUCGCCAAUAAAUCUCUAAUACAUAUAUCUAGGAAUGAGAAAAUAGUGAUGCAUAACUUACUACAACAUGUGGGUAGACAAGCCAUUCAAAGACAAGAACCUUGGAAACGCCACAUCUUAAUAGAUGCUGACGAGAUAUGCAAUGUCCUUGAAAAUGAUACAGUAAGUAUUCCACGUUCUAAACUUAAUCAUAUUGUGAAGAUUCACAGAUCUUACAUAUUGUGCUCACGAUUUCU